rnacentral:rRNA from 1 species
CAACGCGAAAAACCUUACCACUCCUUAACAUGGAGAUUAGAUCCUUCUUAACAGAAGGGCGCAGUUCGGCUGGAUCUCGCACAGGUGCUGCAUGGCUGUCGUCAGCUCGUGUCGUGAGAUGUUGGGUUAAGUCCCGCAACGAGCGUAACCCUCAUCCUUAGUUGCCAGCGGGUAAGCCGGGCACUUUAAGGAAACUGCCGGUGGUAAACCGGAGGAAGGUGGGGAUGAUGUCAAGUCAGCACGGCCCUUAUGGGGUGGGCUACACACGUGCUACAAUGGUGACUACAAUAGGUUGCAAUGUCGCAAGGCUGAGCUAAUCCGUAAAAGUCAUCUCAGUUCGGAUUGUCCUCUGCAACUCGAGGGCAUGAAGUCGGAAUCGCUAGUAAUCGUGGAUCAGCAUGCCACGGUGAAUACGUUCUCGGGUCUUGUACACACUGCCCGUCACGCCAUGGGAAAUGG